rnacentral:rRNA from 1 species
AUACGGAGGAUGCGAGCGUUAUCCGGAUUUAUUGGGUUUAAAGGGUGCGUAGGCUGUGCGUUAAGUCAGCGGUGAAACGCAAGGGCUCAACCCUUGACCUGCCGUUGAAACUGGAGGACUUGAAUGCGGAUGCUGUGGGAGGAAUGUGUGGUGUAGCGGUGAAAUGCAUAGAUAUCACACAGAACACCGAUUGCGAAGGCAUCUCACAAAUCCGUGAUUGACGCAGAGGCACGAAAGUGUGGGGAUCAAACAGGAUUAGAUACCCUGGUAGUCCACACUGUAAACGAUGAUGACUCGCUGUCGGCGAUAUACAGUCGGUGGCCAAGCGAAAGCGAUAAGUCAUCCACCUGGGGAGUACGACCGCAAGGUUGAAACUCAAAGGAAUCGACGGGG